rnacentral:rRNA from 1 species
UACAGAGGGUGCGAGCGUUAAUCGGAAUUACUGGGCGUAAAGCGCGCGUAGGCGGCUUUGCAAGUCGGGUGUGAAAUCCCCAGGCUUAACCUGGGAACUGCAUUCGAGACUGCAUUGCUAGAGUAUGGGAGAGGGAAGUGGAAUUUCCGGUGUAGCGGUGAAAUGCGUAGAUAUCGAGAGGAACACCUGCGGCGAAGGCGGGUUGCUGGGCUGACACUGACGCUGAAGCGCGAAAGCUAGGGGAGCGAACGGG